GUUUACAAGAGGUUUUAAUAGCUGGGUUUACAAGAGGUUUUAAUAGCUGGGUUUACAAGAGGUUUUAAUGGCUGGGUUUACAAGAGGUUUUAAUGGCUGGGUUUACAAGAGGUUUUAAUGGCUGGGUUUACAAGAGGUUUUAAUAGCUGGGUUUACAAGAGGUUUUAAUAGCUGGGUUUACAAGAGGUUUUAAUAGCUGGGUUUACAAGAGGUUUUAAUGGCUGGGUUUACAAGAGGUUUUAAUAGCUGGGUUUACAAGAGGUUUUAAUGGCUGGGUUUACAAGAGGUUUUAAUAGCUGGGUUUACAAGAGGUUUUAAUGGCUGGGUUUACAAGAGGUUUUAAUAGCUGGGUUUACAAGAGGUUUUAAUAGCUGGGUUUACAAGAGGUUUUAAUGGCUGGGUUUACAAGAGGUUUUAAUGGCUGGGUUUACAAGAGGUUUUAAUAGCUGGGUUUACAAGAGGUUUUAAUGGCUGGGUUUACAAGAGGUUUUAAUAGCUGGGUUUACAAGAGGUUUUAAUGGCUGGGUUUACAAGAGGUUUUAAUGGCUGGGUUUACAAGAGGUUUUAAUGGCUGGGUUUACAAGAGGUUUUAAUAGCUGGGUUUACAAGAGGUUUUAAUGGCUGGGUUUACAAGAGGUUUUAAUGGCAAAUAUCUCCUGAAUGGUGCUGUGUUAUGUAUCUUGACAUGCUCUCAGGGUAAGGAG